AAUACACCUUUCACCAACGGAUCUCUUGGCUCUCGCAUCGAUGAAGAACGCAGCGAAAUGCGAUAAGUAAUGUGAAUUGCAGAAUUCAGUGAAUCAUCGAAUCUUUGAACGCACCUUGCGCCCCUUGGUAUUCCGAGGGGCAUGCCUGUUUGAGUGUC
rnacentral:rRNA from 1 species